rnacentral:rRNA from 1 species
CUUACCAAACCGUUGCAAACUCCGAAUACCCUGAAGUUCAAUCGCGGGAGACACACGGUGGGAGCUAAAUUUCAUCGUGAAAAGGGAAACAACCCAGACCGCCAGCUAAGGUCCCAAAGUCUAUAUUAAGUGGGAAACGAAGUGGGAAGGCUUAGACAGCUAGGAUGUUGGCUUAGAAGCAGCCAUCAUUUAAAGAAAGCGUAAUAGCUCACUAGUCGAGUCGGCCUGCGCGGAAGAUGUAACGGGGCUAAGCAAUAUACCGAAGCUGCGGCAGCAAGUUUACUUGCUGGGUAGGGGAGCGUUGUGUAAGUGGAUGAAGGUGAGUUGUAAAGCUUGCUGGACAUAUCACAAGUGCGAAUGCUGACAUGAGUAACGAUAAUGCGGGUGAAAAACCCGCACGCCGGAAGACCAAGGGUUCCUAUCCCAUGUUAAUCAGGGUAGGGUAAGUCGACCCCUAAGGCGAGGCUGAAGAGCGUAGUCGAUGGGAAACGGGUUAAUACUCCC